UGAACGCUGGCGGCGUGCCUAAUACAUGCAAGUCGAGCGAACGGACGAGAAGCUUGCUUCUCUGUUGUUAGCGGCGGACGGGUGAGUAACACGUGGAUAACCUACCUAUAAGACUGGGAUAACUUCGGGAAACCGGAGCUAAUACCGGAUAAUAUUUUGAACCGCAUGGUUCAAAAGUGAAAGACGGUCUUGCUGUCACUUAUAGAUGGAUCCGCGCUGCAUUAGCUAGUUGGUAAGGUAACGGCUUACCAAGGCAACGAUGCAUAGCCGACCUGAGAGGGUGAUCGGCCACACUGGAACUGAGACACGGUCCAGACUCCUACGGGAGGCAGCAGUAGGGAAUCUUCCGCAAUGGGCGAAAGCCUGACGGAGCAACGCCGCGUGAGUGAUGAAGGUCUUCGGAUCGUAAAACUCUGUUAUUAGGGAAGAACAUAUGUGUAAGUAACUGUGCACAUCUUGACGGUACCUAAUCAGAAAGCCACGGCUAACUACGUG
rnacentral:rRNA from 1 species